rnacentral:rRNA from 1 species
CUACGGGACGCUGCAGUGGGGAAUAUUGGACAAUGGGGGAAACCCUGAUCCAGCAAUGCCGCGUGUGUGAAGAAGGCCUGCGGGUUGUAAAGCACUUUCGGUUGGGAGGACUGCUUCUAGCACUAAUAUUGUUGGAAGUUGACGUUACCUUCAGAAGAGGCACCGGCUAACUCCGUGCCAGCAGCCGCGGUAAUAGGGAGGGUGCAAGCGUUAAUCGGAAUUACUGGGCGUAAAGCGCGCGUAGGCGGCUAGAUCAGUCGGGUGUGAAAGCCCCGGGCUUAACCUGGGAACUGCAUCCGAUACUGUCUAGCUUGAGUACAGGAGAGGAGAGUGGAAUUCCACAUGUAGCGGUGAAAUGCGUAGAUAUGUGGAGGAACACCAAUGGCGAAGGCAGCUCUCUGGCCUGAUACUGACGCUGAGGUGCGAAAGCGUGGGGAGCAAACAGGAUUAGAUACCCCCGUAGUC